GUGUUUCUCCUCCCAAAGAUGCAGCGAUCGGUCACCAUCACCCUUUUCUCUUUCAAUUCAUAAACCACUAACCCCCUUUUACUUCUCUUCCUCCUCCCCUUCUCUCUCGUGUCUAAACCGCAACCCUAGCACUGCCAUGGCAGCCAUGGUUGUUGCCCCUAUGCAAGAAUCUCCCCAAAACUUGCCUCUUCCACCACCUAAAAUCCAAAAUCAUAAAAAGCAAGGCUCAAAAUUCGUGUAAGGAUGGAAAAUAGGUCCUAGCAGUCAUUAAUGGCAUCAAAAUCGAAGAUCUCAUUCAAAUCUUCACCCCCUUUUCUCAUAUUUUUAUUGUAUAGGUUUCAAAUUCGGACCUUUCAAGUCUGGAUUUGCACCUAUAAAUGGGGGAGGGGUUGGACAGUGAAGGAACAAGAGAGAAGGGAGGAGAAGACACAGAUCAGGAAGGAACCUUCAUUUUUUUGUUUCAUUUUUCCCAUCAUCAGCAUAAAUACACAUAUAUACGACAUUACUCAUACACACACAGUAACAAAACACACCAAUAACUAUCGGAUAUGUCUCCCUCCCAUCCUCUCCGGUGAACCCCGCUACUGCCAUCUCCUUCCUCCUCUGUUAUGCUGCUAGCUCGUCGGAGGUGAUGGCCGGCGAGCUUUGACCUCUAGCCGCGCCACCAGCACCAACGUGCCUAGCAUUUCUCCCUUCACCAGCCACAGAAGAAACCACCAACGCCGACCAGCCAGAUCUGGUCGAGAAACUAUGAACUCAUGACCCCUGCAACUAUUUUCCUCUUUUUCCUCUUUCUUAUCUUUUUAUUUUUGGGCCGCACCUCGGCGGAUUUGGUCACCGGCGAGCGACCUUUUUUUUUAUGAUUGAACCGCCCUCAUUUUUUCUUCAAAAAAAUGGCCAGAUCCGACUUAUGCCUCAUUUUCUGGCGUUGCUUCGGCGAUCGUCAUUGAAGCAACGUCAGCACUAUCAC
rnacentral:lncRNA from 1 species